rnacentral:misc_RNA from 1 species
CUCCACACAAAAACUCUCAAAUGAUUGUAAUUUGUGAAUAAACUACACACCACCCAAAUAGAAAUGAGGGGUAAAUUUCACUCAUUGUCCAACUUAGAGCGUCGUAAUAGCACCGUCCCCAACCUUUAAUUUGUACCAUAUUCAAUUUGGUGCACAUAAAAAUCCUUUUUACCUAUUAUCUAACACAGGGCUUGGAGUUCCAAACAGCAAAG